GACGAACGCUGGCGGCGUGCUUAACACAUGCAAGUCGAACGAGGUCCAUCCUCUCGCAAGAGAGGUGAAGACCUAGUGGCGAACGGGUGAGUAACACGUGAGGAACCUGCCCCGGACUCUGGGAUAACAGCGGGAAACCGCUGCUAAUACCGGAUGCCCCCUUCUGAUCGCAUGGUCGGGAGAGGAAAGCUUUUGCGGUUCGGGAGGGCCUCGCGGCCUAUCAGCUUGUUGGUGGGGUAACGGCCCACCAAGGCAUCGACGGGUAGCUGGUCUGAGAGGAUGAUCAGCCACACUGGGACUGAGACACGGCCCAGACUCCUACGGGAGGCAGCAGUGGGGAAUCUUGCGCAAUGGGCGAAAGCCUGACGCAGCAACGCCGCGUGGGGGAUGAAGGCCCUCGGGUUGUAAACCCCUUUCGGCAGGGACGAUUAUGACGGUACCUGCAGAAGAAGCCCCGGCCAACUACGUGCCAGCAGCCGCGGUAAGACGUAGGGGGCAAGGGUUGUCCGGAUUUAUUGGGCGUAAAGAGCUCGUAGGCGGCUUGGCAAGUCGGGUGUGAAAACUCCAGGCUCAACCUGGAGACGCCACUCGAUACUGCCAUGGCUAGAGUCCGGUAGGGGCGCACGGAAUUCCCGGUGUAGCGGUGAAAUGCUUAGAUAUCGGGAGGAACACCAGUGGCGAAGGCGGUGCGCUGGGCCGGAACUGACGCUGAGGAGCGAAAGCGUGGGGAGCGAACAGGAUUAGAUACCCUGGUAGUCCACGCCGUAAACGUUGGGCACUAGGUGUGGGGACCUAUCGACGGUUUCCGUGCCGUAGCUAACGCAUUAAGUGCCCCGCCUGGGGAGUACGGCCGCAAGGCUAA
rnacentral:rRNA from 1 species